AUGCCAGGUCUUCUGACUAAGCUCGCUUUGUAGCUGUCUCCCUGGUGAGGGGCACUGUUCAAUGCAUAGAGCACGUAAGGAAGUGGAAGCAGCAGCACGUGGAAGGAGCCUCGAGCCCUAGGAGCUGGAGUGAAGGAUGCAUGAUGGUGUGUGCAAGUGCUAGCACAAAGCAAGCCAGGCCAGCCGGUGACUGUGGCCCUCCUGUGCUCCUCGUCCCUGCCCUGCUGGUGGAGAUGGAAGGACAGCCAGAUACGGAAUUGAAAAAGCACACCGAUCAGAAGGACUGUGAAAAGGAACCUGCUGGCAUGAGGAGUGAUGACGAGUGGAGGGGCUGGCAAAAAGGACAGGCUAAGAGGAACACGCUGUACCUCGUGUCCGCAGCCACUCAGUGGAUAUUACUGCUUGCCUGCUUGAUUUACCUUGGUACAGAUUCUCUGCAACUCUGGACGCCUCACAGUGACAAAGUCAAGUGGACCUACAUCCGGUACACAGGUCAAAGCAUCGCAGGAGUGGCCAUGAAUCUCAGUGCUGAAUUUACCUCCAUUCCUGUCAUAAAUGGCUCCAUCAUGAUCCCCUGCGAUGGCCUCUACGUGGUGUCCCUGAAGGGUGUCCUUUCUCCUGACCUGGAGAAGAGCUCGCUGAAGCUGAUGAUGAAGAAUACAGAAAGCAAGAAUGCCGCACCCCUCUGGGAGCGGGAUGUCCAGAACAGCAGCAAUGCAGUAGAUCUCAUCACGAUGCUCUACUUGUUUGCUCAAAAUAACAUCAUCCUGUCGACCAGCUCGAACGCCACAAUCCAGUGUUUGACAUUUAGCCUUGUUCUACUAAAUCCCGUCUUUUGCAACCCAUAGAAGAUGACAUAUGAAAUGUAACACAUAAAGUACAGCUUUUCCUACUGAUCCAUUUGAAUGUAGGAGGCUUGUUCCCCAGGCUGUACUUGUACAGGCAGACUCCCUCCUUGGGGCUGUGGAAAGCCUCAGCUGGAGUGCAGAUAAAUCACAAUGCAAACAGGCUUUAUAUAGUGUAUGCAUCUCUUUGGAGCUCUACGCAGCUAGGAUGGAUCCUUCUAAGACUCGACAAAGGGGUGUGUGAAGCCAUUGAGGAUAACAGAGAUGAAAACCAGAGAAAUUUAUCCAAGCUUCAUUCAUAUUCAGAGAAACCCUAGGUGUCUCUAGUCACUUGGCAGUAUCUGUAUAUAAUACAAGUGUGCUGUAUAUUUGCUAAAAUAAAGUGCUAAAUCAGGAAGAUACGCCAGGAAGAUACUGCCUUUGCAGAGAACUGGGUAUGCUCUCUGUCAGGUAAAGGCCAUAAAGGGAAGGUGGGCUUCCAAAAGGAGCUAACAGGACUACGCUGGACUGCAGUAACACAUGUCCUGCAGCUACCUCGGGAUCUGUAGGAGCAGCUGUGAGGGAGGAGGCUAGCAGGCUAUCCCAGCUGUCAGCAGAAUAUUGAUCCUGAGUCAUGUGUCAGGUAGGAUGUUUACAUCUUGACGCCAGGUCUCAGAGGUGUUAAGCUGAAGGAGAAUCUCCCUCAAGAACACACACAGAGAAUGGCUCAACCCAAAAGCGAUCCAGGCACGUGAAAUUUGGGAAGGAGCAUGAAGGCCCUUCACUUGGUAACUUCUCUCUGAUGGACCAAAUGGAACCUGAAGAUCUGCACAACUCCUCAGGGAGGACCGGAUAGGUCCGAAGAGCCUUGCUAUGAAGGCAUGCACCACAAAGAGGUUCACAACCCAACUUCCAUGACACACCUGUGCACCCAUAUGUACCCUGCCUGGCUUCUGCCAGAAUCCAGAGACAGACCAUUCCUGGCCACUGUGGGCCAGGAGCCCAUGUUACAGACAGCAGCUACUGAGGACAACACAGUCUGUGCCCUGAGCACAGCUGGCAGCUGUGGCAUUUCUGGUUGAACUAGGGCAGGUUUUAAGGACAAGUUGACCAUCUGGCUUCCAGUGAACCCCAGCAACAUUUCAGCAUCUCCUUGCUGACUGUACGCUCCAAAGUCUAUUAUUAAAGGUAUUUAUAUAU
rnacentral:lncRNA from 7 species